CUCAGCCUUCUCCUCACUCCCUCCCAACAUGGGUCAGUUACCUGCUACACUGGGACAACAGCUGGGGCGCCCUCUGCUGUCAACAGGGGCUUCGAUUCCAGCCAUAUGUCUGACACGUCUAUAACAAGAAACAUAUUGAAACAAUUACCCUAUGUAACAGAGGAAGGAGGGCUCAAUGAAGAAAAAAAAUGCCAGUGACCCCGACCUCAACUGACCCCUCACUCUGCCUUUGUGCUGGGAUUGGCAAUUUUUGUGGAAGUAUUAUGAAAUGUGUGUUGUUUUAUAAAUGAUAGGACACACUGUAAUACAUAGCUUGCAUACAUAUAAAGAGUGGCUAUAAUGUUAUUGCAAAACCUGUACUGCACCUUACUGUUCCCACAACAUAUAUUUAUAAGUUAUACAAAAGGCAAAUUGAAUUUUAUAGGUGGAUGCCCUAAAGUAAUUGUUUCACUACAACUCCCAGAAUCACCUGCCAGCUCAUUUGGCAUGUAUGUUUCAAAUUACUGAGUCUUUCUGCUAAUUAACUUGAUCGUUGAGCUCAAAAAAGCAAGUUAUAUGUGGCUUUGUUCAUGUUUUUCUCAUAAAUAACAAAGAAAUUAAAUUC